rnacentral:rRNA from 1 species
UACGUAGGGGGCAAGCGUUGUCCGGAAUCAUUGGGCGUAAAGCGCGUGUAGGCGGCUCGAUUAGUCCGCUCUGAAAGCCCGGGGCUCAACCCCGGGAGGCGGGCGGAUACUGUCGGGCUAGAGUCCGGAAGGGGCGAGUGGAAUUCCGAGUGUAGAGGUGAAAUUCGUAGAUAUUCGGAAGAACACCAGUGGCGAAGGCGGCCAACUGGUCCGAUACUGACGCUGAGGCGCGAAAGCGUGGGGAGCAAACAGG